UGGGGAAUAUUGGACAAUGGGCGAAAGCCUGAUCCAGCCAUGCCGCGUGUGUGAAGAAGGUCUUCGGAUUGUAAAGCACUUUAAGUUGGGAGGAAGGGCAGUAAGCGAAUACCUUGCUGUUUUGACGUUACCGACAGAAUAAGCACCGGCUAACUCUGUGCCAGCAGCCGCGGUAAUACAGAGGGUGCAAGCGUUAAUCGGAAUUACUGGGCGUAACGCGCGCGUAGGUGGUUCGUUAAGUUGAAUGUGAAAGCCCCGGGCUCAACCUGGGAACUGCAUCCAAAACUGGCGAGCUAGAGUAGGGCAGAGGGUGGUGGAAUUUCCUGUGUAGCGGUGAAAUGCAUAGAUAUAGGAAGGAACACCAGUGGCGAAGGCGACCACCUGGGCUCAUACUGACACUGAGGUGCGAAAGCGUGGGGAGCAAACAGG
rnacentral:rRNA from 1 species